ACUUCAGUGGCCUAGUGGUCAGAGCGUCCGCCUCCGAUACGGGGGUCGCGGGAUCAAACCCCGGUCUAGACAUA